rnacentral:rRNA from 2 species
CCUUGACCUCAAAUCGGGUGAGACUACCCGCUGAACUUAAGCAUAU